rnacentral:rRNA from 2 species
UAAGGAAUAUUGGUCAAUGGGCGCAAGCCUGAACCAGCCAUGCCGCGUGCAGGAAGACGGCCCUAUGGGUUGUAAACUGCUUUUGUCAGGGAAUAAACCCCCGCUCGUGAGCGGGGCUGAAGGUACCUGAAGAAUAAGCAUCGGCUAACUCCGUGCCAGCAGCCGCGGUAAUACGGAGGAUGCAAGCGUUAUCCGGAUUCAUUGGGUUUAAAGGGUGCGCAGGCGGAUUGGUAAGUCAGGGGUGAAAUCCCACAGCUCAACUGUGGAACUGCCUUUGAUACUGUCAGUCUAGAGUAUAGUUGAAGUGGGCGGAAUGUGUCAUGUAGCGGUGAAAUGCUUAGAUAUGACACAGAACACCGAUCGCGAAGGCAGCUCGCUAAGCUAUAACUGACGCUCAUGCACGAAAGCGUGGGGAUCAAACAGG